UACGUAGGGUGCAAGCGUUGUCCGGAAUUAUUGGGCGUAAAGAGCUCGUAGGCGGUUUGUCGCGUCUGCUGGGAAAGUUCGGGGCUCAACCCCGGAACUGCAGUGGGUACGGGCAGACUAGAGUGCGGUAGAGGAGACUGGAAUUCCUGGUGUAGCGGUGGAAUGCGCAGAUAUCAGGAGCAACGCCAGUGGGCAAGGCGGGUAUCUGGGCCGCAACUGACGCUGAGGAGCGAAAGCCUCGGGGGCGAACAGG
rnacentral:rRNA from 1 species